CAGUGGGAGAGGCUGGGGCGCCUGUGCCGGGGUGCGGGAGCUGCGGGCCGAGCGAGCAUCAAAACUCAGGCCGUGCGGGUCCCCGCUUCCGGAGCCGCCGGGGGACUCGGGCGGGGCCGGCGCCAGCGAGGUCGCCGUGGUUGGAGGUGGCGGGGAAGGUGCGGGCCUCGCUUCCUGAGAGAACUCCCUCCGGGUUAACUGCUAGAGAGGGCUCUCUGGGUUUUCUCCGGAGUUUGGACUUUGGUACUUUCAUCGAGAUUUUCCUCCCGGGGGGCAUCUCACAGAGUCACAAAUGGCAUCUGUGGGAGGCCGAUGGUGGCCCCUAAAGAUAUCCGGUCCUAAUCUGUGAAACCCAUGGAUGUUACAUUACACGGUGAAGACUUUUCAAAGGCCCUGCCCAGAACUUGCCUUUUCUCCAUCAGGUCCUGCCAGAGCUCACAUGGUAUGUUUCUUCUCUGUAUGACCAUGUAUGUUCUAAUGUGUGACUCGGCCAUAGCCGUGGUUUUACGCAGCACCUCCCUCUGCAACUACAUCAUAGUUAUUGGAAACUACAGAAUAGUUGGCAAUUACAUUGUUAUAAAAUAA
rnacentral:lncRNA from 1 species